GGAGGGUGCAAGCGCUGUUCGGAAUCAUUGGGCGUAAAGCGCGUGUAGGCGGCUAGGCAAGUCGGUUGUGAAAGCCCGGGGCCCAACCCCGGAACUGCAUCUGAAACUGCCUGGCUAGAGUCCCGGAGAGGAAGGCAGAAUUCCCGGUGUAGGGGUGAAAUCCGUAGAUAUCGGGAGGAAUACCAGCGGCGAAGGCGGCCUUCUGGACGGUGACUGACGCUGAGACGCGAAAGCGUGGGGAGCAAACAGGAUUAGAUACCCUGGUAGUCCACGCCGUAAACGUUGAGUGCUAGGUGUCGCGGGUAUUGACCCCUGCGGUGCCGUCGUUAACGCAUUUAGCACUCCGCCUGGGGAGUACGGUCGCAAGGCUA
rnacentral:rRNA from 1 species